CGAAGGGGCUAGCGUUGUUCGGAAUUACUGGGCGUAAAGCACGUGUAGGCGGUUGUUCAAGUCAGGUGUGAAAGCCUUGAGCUCAACUCAAGAAAUGCACUUGAUACUGGAUGACUAGAGGACCGGAGAGGAUAGUGGAAUUCCCAGUGUAGUGGUGAAAUACGUAGAGAUUGGGAAGAACACCAGUGGCGAAGGCGGCUAUCUGGACGGUUUCUGACGCUAAGACGCGAAAGCGUGGGGAGCAAACAGGAUUAGAUACCCUGGUAGUCCACGCCGUAAACGAUGGGUGCUAGACGUUGGCGAGCUUGCUCGUCAGUGUCGCAGCUAACGCGUUAAGCACCCCGCCUGGGGAGUACGGCCGCAAGGUUG
rnacentral:rRNA from 1 species